rnacentral:rRNA from 1 species
CGGCCGCACCAUGUUGAAUAUACCGGUUCUUGUUAGAUCACCGAAGUCAAGCAUCACUGGGCGCGGUCAGAACUUGGGUGGGUGACCACCUGGGAACACCGCGUGCCGUU